rnacentral:rRNA from 1 species
UAGGGAAUUUUCGUCAAUGGGCGCAAGCCUGAACGAGCGAUGCCGCGUGAGUGAAGAAGGCCUUCGGGUCGUAAAGCUCUGUUGCGGGGGAAAAAAGGCAGCAUCAGGAAAUGGGUGCUGACUGAUGGUGCCCCUCCAGAAAGUCACGGCUAACUACGUGCC